rnacentral:rRNA from 1 species
AACGAACGCUGGCGGCAGGCUUAACACAUGCAAGUCGAGCGCCCCGCAAGGGGAGCGGCAGACGGGUGAGUAACGCGUGGGAACCUACCCUUUUCUACGGAAUAACGCAUGGAAACGUGUGCUAAUACCGUAUACGCCCUACGGGGGAAAGAUUUAUCGGAGAAGGCAGGGCCCGCGUUGGAUUAGCUAGUUGGUGGGGUAAAGGCCUACCAAGGCGACGAUCCAUAGCUGGUCUGAGAGGAUGAUCAGCCACAUUGGGACUGAGACACGGCCCAAACUCCUACGGGAGGCAGCAGUGGGGAAUAUUGGACAAUGGGUGCAAGCCUGAUCCAGCCAUGCCGCGUGAGUGAUGAAGGCCCUAGGGUUGUAAAGCUCUUUCACCGGAGAAGAUAAUGACGGUAUCCGGAGAAGAAGCCCCGGCUAACUUCGUGCCAGCCGCCGCGGUAA